rnacentral:rRNA from 1 species
AUUGAACGCUGGCGGCAGGCCUAACACAUGCAAGUCGAACGGAAGCACGGUUCUUGCUCGUGGAUUCAGAGGCGGACGGGUGGGUAAUGCCUGGGGAUCUUCCUGGCUGCAUUUGAGAAGGUGCGUGAGCAGGCGCUACUACUCCAGUCGUCCUUAGGAAGAAAGGUGGGGUUCUUGGGACCUUUCGCUAUCGGGUUAGCCUAGGGCGGUUUAGCUAGUUGGUGGGGUAAAGGCCUACCCAGGCGACGAUCCGUAACUGGGCUGAGAGGAUGAUCAGUCACACUGGAACUGAGACACGGUCCAGACUCCUACGGGAGGCAGCAGUGGGGAAUAUUGGAGAAUGGGCGAAAGCCUGAUCCAGCCAUGCCGCGUGAGUGAAGAAGGUCUUCGGGUUGUAAAGCACUUUCAGUUGGGAAGAAGGGCAGUAAGUUAAUACCUCGCUGUUUUGACGGUACCAACAGAAUAAGCACCGGCUAACUUCGUG